GUGAGGAAUAUUGCGCAAUGGAGGCAACUCUGACGCAGCCAUGCCGCGUGCAGGAAGAAGGCGCUACGCGUUGUAAACUGCUUUUAACCGGGAAGAAACCCCAGGACGUGUCCUGGGUUGACGGUACCGGAGGAAUAAGCACCGGCUAACUUCGUGCCAGCAGCCGCGGUAAUACGAAGGGUGCAAGCGUUAUCCGGAUUCAUUGGGUUUAACGGUUGCGUAGGCGGACCGUUAAGUCAGUGGUGAAAUCCUGCAGCUUAACUGUAGACUUGCCAUUGAUACUGGCGCUCUUGAGUGCGGUUGAAGUGGGCGGAAUGUGCCGUGUAGCGGUGAAAUGCUUAGAUAUGGCACAGAACACCAAUUGCGAAGGCAGCUCACUAAGGCGAUACUGACGCUGAGGCACGAAAGCGUGGGGAUCGAACAGGAUUAGAUACCCUGGUAGUCC
rnacentral:rRNA from 1 species